rnacentral:rRNA from 1 species
UACGAAGGGUGCAAGCGUUACUCGGAAUUACUGGGCGUAAAGCGUGCGUAGGCGGUUUGUUAAGUCCGCUGUGAAAGCCCUGGGCUCAACCUGGGAAUUGCAGUGGAUACUGGCAAGCUAGAGUGCGGUAGAGGAUGGUGGAAUUCCCGGUGUAGCGGUGAAAUGCGCAGAUAUCAGGAGGAACACCAAUGGCGAAGGCAGCUCGCUGGGACGGUACUGACGCUGAGGUGCGAAAGCGUGGGGAGCAAACAGG